rnacentral:tRNA from 4 species
GCCGGGGUAGCUCAGCCUGGGAGAGCAUCCGGCUGAAGACCGGAGGGUCCCGGGUUCAAGUCCCGGCCCCGGCACCA